rnacentral:rRNA from 1 species
AGUAAUGCUUAGGAAUCUGCCUAUUAGUGGGGGACAACAUUCCGAAAGGAAUGCUAAUACCGCAUACGUCCUACGGGAGAAAGCAGGGGAUCGUUUGACCUUGCGCUAAUAGAUGAGCCUAAGUCGGAUUAGCUAGUUGGUGGGGUAAAGGCCUACCAAGGCGACGAUCUGUAGCUGGUCUGAGAGGAUGAUCAGCCACACUGGGACUGAGACACGGCCCAGACUCCUACGGGAGGCAGCAGUGGGGAAUAUUGGACAAUGGGCGAAAGCCUGAUCCAGCCAUGCCGCGUGUGUGAAGAAGGCCUUUUGGUUGUAAAGCACUUUAAGUGGGGAGGAAAAGCUAAUAAUUAAUACCUAUUAGCCCUGACGUUACCCACAGAAUAAGCACCGGCUAACUCUGUGCCAGCAGCCGCGGUAAUACAGAGGGUGCAAGCGUUAAUCGGAAUUACUGGGCGUAAAGCGAGCGUAGGUGGUUACUUAAGUCAGAUGUGAAAGCCCUGGGCUUAACCUGGGAACUGCAUCUGAUACUGGGUAACUAGAGUAGGUGAGAGGGAAGUAGAAUUCCAGGUGUAGCGGUGAAAUG